GCCAUCUUAUGAACAAUGGAUCCGCCGCGCACUGCGCUCGCCAAAUUGUUUGCUUUGUCAUGCGGCGGCUCCUCUCCACCGGGGCCAUGUCUUCCUCUUACCCUUAUUUGUCGUUCCUACCAGGUAAAAACCCUAGCUCGAUCCGCCUCACGCAUCAGCGGCGACUCAAUGGUGUUCGUUUCUCUUUUCCCACCCGCUUCGUCGUCGUCGGUUCUUCCGUACGCUGCCUUGCCUCCUUCUCACCGGCCGAGCGAAUCAAAGUCCACAACCCCAUCGUUGAGAUGGAUGGCGAUGAGAUGACGAGGGUCAUCUGGAGGAUGAUAAAAGAAAAGCUAAUUUUUCCAUUUCUCGAAUUGGACAUCAAGUACUUCGAUCUGGGCCUCUUGAGUCGUGAUGCCACCGACGAUCGGGUAACCGUUGAAAGUGCCGAGGCAACUCUCAAGCACAAUGUUGCUGUGAAAUGUGCAACAAUUACACCUGAUGAAGCUAGAGUUAAAGAGUUUAAGCUCAAAUCUAUGUGGAGAAGCCCAAAUGGAACAAUAAGAAAUAUUUUAAAUGGAACUGUUUUUCGUGAGCCUAUUCUUUGCCGCAAUGUGCCACGCAUUGUUGCUGGUUGGAAGAAACCUACAUGUAUUGGUAGACAUGCAUUUGGAGAUCAGUAUUGCGCUACUGACAUGAUUGUUAAAGGUCCUGGAAAGCUUAAAAUGGUUUUUGUCCCUGCAGAUAAAGGUCCACCUGUGGAGCAAGAUGUUUAUGAGUUUAAAGGCUCUGGUAUUGCAUUAUCUAUGUAUAAUGUAGAUGAGUCCAUUCUGGCUUUUGCUGAGUCAUCAAUGUCCAUGGCAUUUGCAAAAAAGUGGCCACUUUACUUAAGCACCAAAAAUACCAUAUUGAAGAAAUACGAUGGCAGGUUUAAGGACAUUUUUCAGGAGGUUUAUGAAGAAAAAUGGAAGUCAAAGUUCGAAGAACAAUCAAUAUGGUAUGAGCAUAGGCUGAUUGAUGACAUGGUAGCUUAUGCAUUGAAAAGCAGUGGUGGUUAUGUGUGGGCCUGCAAAAAUUAUGAUGGAGAUGUCCAGAGCAAUUUCCUCGCCCAAGGAUUUGGUUCAUUGGGCUUGAUGACGUCUGUAUUGUUAUCAUCUGAUGGGAAAACAUUAGAAGCUGAAGCAGCACACUGACACGGACUUAGCUGGUUUUGCCUAAGUCGUGCGGCACCCUUGCGUGUCCGUCCGCAAAGGUCAGCCUCCCCGAAGCCUCCCAUUGUCCCUUAGGACCAUCAAAAGAGAGAACGGGUUAGAGAGAACGCCUCAAACGAGAUCCACAAGCAAACAUGUCCGAAAAACACUUCAUAGACAAUGCAAAUUACAAACAGACUUUACAAGCUCUGAACAGUGGCACAACAAAGGGUAAAAUGGUCCAUUACAGACCGAAAAGCUCUCUCACGUGUCCACAUGACACAACCUUUAUUUACAAGCCUAAAGAGGCCACCAACCCAACUAAAAUGGGACUUAUAAGCCUUCGGCCGCCCCUUUACAUUCUGUACAGGGCAUGAACAUGCCAAAAGACACGGACACACAUAAGCAUUACAUCCAACGUCUUGUGGAGAAGUUUGUCCGUGACAUUCUCCCCCACUUAUCCCUUCGACGUCCUCGUCGAAGCCUUUGUGAACACUGCAACUCUUCGCCUUUGCUGAGUCUUCAAUCUUCUGCUCCAGCUGCAAUGCGCCUCCUGGCUCCCAGCUGCUCUCCGCUGCUGUUUUUGAGUAGUCGAACCUUUGAUCCGCCAUGCUUCUUCAACUCGCCAAUGUCUCUGACUCUGGUGUGGGGUUGGUUGAGUUGUGUUGAUCCUCGUUGAUUCCUGCGGAUCCACCAAAUGAAGGAAAAGACCAUCCUUACUGCGCCAGUCUCUCAAAAUUUCCACAUGCUGCUUGAACUGGGUGGAUGCUUGUUGGAGCUUUUAACGAGCAUCGCCUCGCAAACUUCUGAAAUUUUGGGUCCUUCCUCCACAAAAUCUGCUCAUUGACUCUUCUUUCAGUUAGUUGUCAUAUCCAAGUAGGUUCGCAUCACUUCCGCUUUCGAUUGGCAUUUCGUUGGGAAAUGAAGCGGACAAUCUACUCUCAGUAGCACUGAUCACCGUUGGUGAGGAUUUGACAACUAUUGUCUUCCAUUAUCUUCGAAGGGUCUUUGAACUUGUGCAGAGCUCCUCUGCUGGAUAGAUAAGAGAAUUGGGGUACUCGGUUUCGCCCAUUCUCUUAAGAGUUGAGAAGGCAAAGGUUACUUGAAUUCGCCCGCCUCCUCGAGGUUGUACUUCAUGCAUCGAGCUGGUUACUGGUAUUCGCCUGCUCUUUGCUCACACUUCUGAAGCACUUGAAGUGUUUGCACUCCUUGCGUUGAGUUAGUUACUGUGAUUCACCUUCUCAAAGCCAUUGAACUUCUGGAAUGCAGGAAGUUUCCACCCCAACUUGGAGUAAUUCUCUAAUAGAUGAGGUCACCUCUGGGAUUGUACCGUCUUCUCCAUCAACCCUGCCGCCUACUCCACUGAGUAGCAAAGGUACAGCACCGCGUACUGCUUGCUUCGUUCCUUGGUCGUGCACUCUUGCAUGACCCGAAGUCCUUCACUUACGGCUAUCUUGAUGAGAAACUUGUUGACACCGGUCUUACGAAGUUUCUUGGCCUCUGCCCUUCAGCCUUGUCUCGGUACUUGGAGAUUGCCUCUGCAUACUCCACCUCCUCGGCCCCUUUCACGACCAAACGCUCUCCCUCCGUGAGAGCAAGGGAUCAAUGACUUUGACGGAAGUCCCGCCUCUGCGGUACCAUGGCGCUGCCAUGCCCAUGGCCCUACUAUCCGUCGCCUCGCAUCUGAAUCCCUUUUCUUCACGAUCAGUAGAGAUGUCUCCGUGGCACUCCUCUGAGUCCACCUCCAUUCUAACUGAUUGCUUGACUUUGGGUAGCUAAGUCCCUCUGGACUCAUCGUCGCUUCCUCGCCCCUUUCGACCCCCUGCUCCAACACCUCCGUGUUCUCCAAGCAGUCUGUUUAGUCGAUGGAAAGACAGACUGCAACUCCCAUGCAUGGCCUCUGCCAUCGCAUUGUAGGGUUUGCACCGAUUCUGUUCUCCAUAGCUUCCUUGGUAGCAACGUUCGCUUACUCGGCCUUGUCCUCUGACUUGCCGGGCUCCCUUAAGCGAAUAUGAGCUCUGGAGCAGUCCAACUCUCCAGCUGCUUCGAUCAUACCUCUGCAUGAUCAAGUCCCUCCCAUGGGACUCCCUGGUACUUGCAUACGAACAAAACCCUUGGUGGAACCCAGCCCCCAUAUGCUGAUGACCAAGGUUUUCAUCCGAUGCUAAAUUCGGUGCACGCCCGGAAGACCCGCCUCUGCGGUACCAUGGCCUUCACUCCUUGAAUCCAUAGCCCUUCUUGCCGUCGUGUUGUUCACCAAAGCGGAGCUCCCAGUAGCUCCCGAUCAUACCUCCAUAUGAUCACAUCCCUCACGGGACAAGGUCGUGUGUAUCGCAUUGCCAUCGAACUGUUCCACCACGAUCCGCUGCACCAUGUCGCCUCCUGGUGACAUCUCCAUUGCAUUCUGAUCCUUGUGGAAUAAACUCGAAUUGUGAACCCUCCGCUGUGUGGCCUCUGCCAAUACAUCGCAGGGUCUCCUCCACCUUCGAUUUUGUUCGCUCCUUUGGCAAUCGAUCUUCAUCCACCCACUCUUGGGUCACACCUAGAUGAAGCACCGCUCUAGGACAGUCCGUCGCCUAGUAGCUCCCGAAGUCCGCCGACUUCGCUGUAAUUUGUGCACUAUUGCCUGGAUCCUGGGCCUCUGCCCCUACCAGCACAAUCUCUGCUGCGCACCGCUUCCUUCCUAGCAACUCGAAUGGCAACACUGUGGCAUAUUCUUCAAGAGUACCCGCCUCUGCGUCCUCUUGCCCCGUGCUAAGGCCUUCUGAACUCAACUUCGCCUCCGCAAAUUGAGUCGCCUUAGUUCCUUCAUCAAAUGCUCCUCCGAGAUAAGGUGCAUGUGCCCCGAAGCUCCCUUCGUCUUUGGCACCAUGCAAGAUGAGUCCACUCCGUCAGAAUGAAGGACCCAUGGAACAACAUGAUCCUGCUCUUGCCUCUGCAAGAGCUCAUGUCCUUGACCUCUGUCUAAGAAAAGCACUGUGCCUCUGCUCCAUGUUCCAACUUCUCUGCUGGCUCCCUUCAUGCGGCUUGGGUACUUCGCCAAGUUACACCCAAGUUGUUCCGCUCCUCGUUUUUGCAUUGAGUCGAUGGUGGCCCUCGCGCCCACCAUUCCACGGGUCAGCCCUCCCUUGAGUCCGAUCUCCACAUCGACUCCAAGUGUGCCUUCAUUUGUGUUGCUCCCCCACUUGAUCUCGCAAUGCAUCCACCAAUGCAUUCUCUCAAGCGAGAUCAUGCGACGACUCCUCGCCGCUUGCUCAGUCCAUUGAGCUUCGUGGAGUUGUUGUUUAUUGAGGUACUCCUCCUCAACAUGUGAAGUCCGUCUCACAUGAUUCUCCCUCUGGAGAGCCGGGACUUAUCCCUCCUGGAUAACUAUCCCAAUGGAGCAACAUCUCUCUUCGUUUCGGAGACCACCAUCCCCUUGGACUACUCCGAUCUGCUGAACAAACUGUGCAUUGUUCUGCCUCCUGCAAACGCACUUGCUAGAUUGCGACUCCCCGUCAAUACAGCCCCCACUGCACCCCUCAAGGUCUAGCAACAUGCUGAACUCAUUGCACACUUCAGCCGCCUACGGACGUAUCCUUCACAUGCCGAAGAGAAAGUUUCAAUGCUCCAUGGUGCCGAGUCUCGGCCGCCUUGGGAUGGCCACGAACAUUCCGUCGUCCGCAUACAAGCCCAUGCAUGAGUACCAAAUUCUUCGAGUUAGCAAUUCCCCUCACCUCUGUGAGCUUUGCAUAACUCUUUUGGUCGUUGAGCAACUCAUUCCACCUUGGAUGGUCUCAUUCUUGCCAAGCGCCUCGCUUGCCUAGAGCACCAUCAAGUAUAGUUGUCAACGUUGAGCCGUAGCUCAAACUCAGCCAUCCCAACCUUUGUGCGCUCCAAAUUCUUCCAAGCUUGCCUGUUCUCGUGGUGCCUCUUGCGCGAAGGGUUGGCCAUUCCUCUGAAUGCCAAUCUCGGAUGCCCGCUCCUCUGAGCGACUCCUUUCCCUACAUCUCCUUGCCCGUUUUCCCUCAAACGGUCGCGCGUGUGCUGACUGCCCUCAACGCAGCCCCGCUAGGUCCCCCACGUUUGCAUGUCAAGUGUUUCUAUGAGUGCUUGUCCCGCUCUGAUACCAUAUGACACGGACUUAGCUGGUUUUGCCUAAGUCGUGCGGCACCCUUGCGUGUCCGUCCGCAAAGGUCAGCCUCCCCGAAGCCUCCCAUUGUCCCUUAGGACCAUCAAAAGAGAGAACGGGUUAGAGAGAACGCCUCAAACGAGAUCCACAAGCAAACAUGUCCGAAAAACACUUCAUAGACAAUGCAAAUUACAAACAGACUUUACAAGCUCUGAACAGUGGCACAACAAAGGGUAAAAUGGUCCAUUACAGACCGAAAAGCUCUCUCACGUGUCCACAUGACACAACCUUUAUUUACAAGCCUAAAGAGGCCACCAACCCAACUAAAAUGGGACUUAUAAGCCUUCGGCCGCCCCUUUACAUUCUGUACAGGGCAUGAACAUGCCAAAAGACACGGACACACAUAAGCAUUACAUCCAACGUCUUGUGGAGAAGUUUGUCCGUGACAACACGGGACUGUGACUUGACAUUUUAGGCUACAUCAGAGAGGACAAGAGACUAGCACGAACAGUAUUGCAUCCACAUUUGCAUGGACACGACCGUCUUGAACACAGGGCAGAGCUUGAUAAACAUGAAAAACUACAAGACUUUGUCCAGAAACACUUGGAAAGGUUGAAGAAACUGACUCUUAACUAGGAAUUGCAGAAGCAUUGUAAUUCAAUUGAAAAAGAAAAACUAGCAUGACGGAACAUGUUCCUUAAAUGAGAAAAGAUUGGGAAAGCAAAGAAAGGAAAAUAAAUGCAAGGCAGUAUACCUUUUAAAACAAACCAUAAUCGAUAGAUAAAUACUUUUUGUUUUGGAUAUUUGAUUUGUGAUGGUUUUUCACAAUCAUGCAAAUACAAGAAAACAGUUGACUUUUCCUUCAAGGUUGCUGUUAUCCUCAUCUUGACUCUCAGAUGAAGUAUGCAAGGUUGCUGUAAGAUCCACGAAAUAUGUUUAGUUCAUUUAGUAUAUAUGGAGUCUAAGAUCUCAUAUAGGCACAUGGUUUUAUCUUUUGUGCACGAGUGAUUGCUCUUUUCUCAAUUGUGCUUUGUCUUCAUUUAU